ensembl:lncRNA
CGCCAUUUCAUUUUUUGGGGUUAUUUGUGGUGUUAUCAGUCCUUUUUGGAUUGUUCGGAGAAGUCUACUUUGUGUUCGAGAAGAAAUAAACCUGCAGCAUUCAGGGUUUCGAAAUGUUAAAGUGUACUUUUAAAGCAAACCUUUAAAGCAACCAAAUGAAUGUUUGAUGGAAAGAAGAACUAACAAUAAAUCUACUGUUUACGUUCAGAAACUGUGUGGAAUUCAAAGUUUCAAAUACUUUUUCUGCAGAAAGUUGCGUUCUUCUGCUGUGUUUCCACUCCUUUUUCUUUCUUUCUGGUUGGAUUAUCUGUGUGUGUGUGUGUGUGUGUGUGUGUGUGUGUGUAUGUGUGUGUGUGUGUGUGUGUGUGAGAGAGAGAGAGAGAGAGAAAACACACUGAGUCUGCGUGCUGGGGGAGGAGUAUCUAUGUCACACUCUCUCUCUCUCUGUCUUUCUCCUCCCGCUCCGUACUUGCAGUUUUUCCGCCCUCCCACUUCUCUCUCUCUCUUUUUCUCUCUCUUUCAAGUGCAAGGCCAUGUGGGACGUCUGAUGAGGAGUUUCACCCCUCUACGUCUCCAGUUUCAUAUCUCUCUUUCCCUCUCCACCGUUCUUUCGCUUUCCGUACGGGUUCCUCGAGCUCCGCUGUUUUUGCAAGGUGGAGACCCACUGGAGACUAGUUUAGAGAGUGUAAGGGGGAUAAAGGGGAAAGAAAAAACCAAGCUUCUUCUUUUUUUUUUUUACAGUGAGGGCCUCCUGACUAGAGCGCGAAAGAGGCUCCCCCACAAGCCUGCCAACACGCUCCCAGAUUUCCAUGAGCGGCCGAGUCCACCUUGACCCGCAGCCCACGCCGGUGCAGGGCCAGGCCAAAAACCUGCUGGAUUUGCCAAUUGGAAGUACUGACCUACGACUUACCCGUUCCCGAUGCAUUCGGACAGGGGAUUCCGGAGUGAAGCUGCUCCACUCUGGGACAGGUGCCAAUUGCUCACAAAAGGCGAGUGAAAAUAUCAGUGAUCUGCACAAGGAAACGUCGGGGGUGAGUGGAAAAUGCAAACUCGCAUGCAUCCGUGCAACUAACGCAGAAAAAAGUGAAGGAUGGUUGCGAGGGGAGGGGAAGACACAGAAAAAGAGGAUCGUGAAAGAAGAGGUGGGGGCGUUUAUUCAAGCCUGUUUGAUGCUCCUCGGGCCUUCGAGAGCCGAUCGCAUGUGCCGUGGUAACUGCGGGACCAUUUGCAUGUGGCAGACACGCUAA